GUAGGGUGCAAGCGUUAAUCGGAAUUACUGGGCGUAAGGUGUGCGCAGGCGGUUUUGUAAGUCUGAUGUGAAAUCCCCGGGCUCAACCUGGGAACUGCAUUGGAGACUGCAAGGCUAGAGUGUGUCAGAGGGGGGUAGAAUUCCACGUGUAGCAGUGAAAUGCGUAGAGAUGUGGAGGAAUACCGAUGGCGAAGGCAGCCCCCUGGGAUAACACUGACGCUCAUGCACGAAAGCGUGGGGAGCAAACAGGAUUAGAUACCCUGGUAGUCCACGCCCUAAACGAUGUCUACUAGUUGUCGGGACUUAAUUGUCUUGGUAACGCAGCUAACGCGUGAAGUAGACCGCCUGGGGAGUAUGGUCGCAAGAUUA
rnacentral:rRNA from 1 species